AUCACUUAUUCAAUUAUUAUCUUUGAUCUCUUAAGCAAGCUUUUCUCUUUAUUGCUCUCUUUGUUGCAAUUUCAGUUAAUAUCUCUUGGGAUCCUAAAGUGAUCGCUUUAAGAGACUUAACAAUUGAUGUUGCGAAGAUGAAAGUAAAAUUAAUUCUUCCAUUUGAUAACGAUAUUACUUGUUAUCGAAGAUGCAAUUCACAUAACGGUUGCAGUGAUGAAAUUUUCUGUAGAACUUGUUCUUACUCUAAACCAUAUGGGUUUGAUCAUGGUAUUUAUGAUUGUUCCAUGUGGUGAAGUUCAGGAUUGUUAUUGAUGAAGGUUAUUUUGGAUUCAUCCUUUAAACAAGUUAAAUAAUGUUGUGUUAUCAUGUUUGUGUAAGAAAAAUAUAUAUGUAAUCUUAUAACUUUUUCAGAUACUGAAAACUAUUCGCUUUAAUAGGUUACUGAUGAAGGUUUAUUUGUGACUAUCUUUUGAGCAAAUUAAAUAAUGUUGUGUUGUCAUAUUUGUGUUAGAAAAAUAAAUAUGUAACCUUAUAAGUUUCUCAGAUACUAGGAAACUAUUCGAUGUAAGGUUAUUGAUGAAGGUUUAUUUGUGAUA